GAUGAAGAACGCAGCGAAAUGCGAUACGUAAUGUGAAUUGCAAAUUCAGUGAAUCAUCGAGUCUUUGAACGCACAUUGCGCCCCCUGGUAUUCCGGGUGGCAUGCCUGUCCGAGCGUCAUUGCUGCCCUCAAGCACGGCUUGUGUGUUGGGCCCCGUCCUCCGAUCCCGGGGGACGGGCCCGAAAGGCAGCGGCGGCACCGCGUCCGGUCCUCGAGCGUAUGGGGCUUUGUCACCCGCUCUGUAGGCCCGGCCGGCGCUUGCCGAUCAACCCAAAUUUUUUAUCCAGGUUGACCUCGGAUCAGGUAGGGAUACCCGCUGAACUUAAGCAUAUCAAUAAGCGGAGGA
rnacentral:misc_RNA from 1 species